GAUGAACGCUGGCGGCGUGCCUAAUACAUGCGAGUCGAGCGAACGGACGAGAAGCUUGCUUCUCUGAUGUUAGCGGCGGACGGGUGAGUAACACGUGGAUAACCUACCUAUAAGACUGGGAUAACUUCGGGAAACCGGAGCUAAUACCGGAUAAUAUUUUGAACCGCAUGGUUCAAAAGUGAAAGACGGUCUUGCUGUCACUUAUAGAUGGAUCCGCGCUGCAUUAGCUAGUUGGUAAGGUAACGGCUUACCAAGGCAACGAUGCAUAGCCGACCUGAGAGGGUGAUCGGCCACACUGGAACUGAGACACGGUCCAGACUCCUACGGGAGGCAGCAGUAGGGAAUCUUCCGCAAUGGGCGAAAGCCUGACGGAGCAACGCCGCGUGAGUGAUGAAGGUCUUCGGAUCGUAAAACUCUGUUAUUAGGGAAGAACAUAUGUGUAAGUAACUGUGCACAUCUUGACGGUACCUAAUCAGAAAGCCACGGCUAACUACGUGCCAGCAGCCGCGGUAAUACGUAGGUGGCAAGCGUUAUCCGGAAUUAUUGGGCGUAAAGCGCGCGUAGGCGGUUUUUUAAGUCUGAUGUGAAAGCCCACGGCUCAACCGUGGAGGGUCAUUGGAAACUGGAAAACUUGAGUGCAGAAGAGGAAAGUGGAAUUCCAUGUGUAGCGGUGAAAUGCGCAGAGAUAUGGAGGAACACCAGUGGCGAAGGCGACUUUCUGGUCUGUAACUGACGCCGAUGUGCGAAAGCGUGGGGAUCAAACAGGAUUAGAUACCCUGGUAGUCCACGCCGUAAACGAUGAGUGCUAAGUGUUAGGGGGUUUCCGCCCCUUAGUGCUGCAGCUAACGCAUUAAGCACUCCGCCUGGGGAGUACGACCGCAAGGUUGAAACUCAAAGGAAUUGACGGGGACCCGCACAAGCGGUGGAGCAUGUGGUUUAAUUCGAAGCAACGCGAAGAACCUUACCAAAUCUUGACAUCCUUUGACAACUCUAGAGAUAGAGCCUUCCCCUUCGGGGGACAAAGUGACAGGUGGUGCAUGGUUGUCGUCAGCUCGUGUCGUGAGAUGUUGGGUUAAGUCCCGCAACGAGCGCAACCCUUAAGCUUAGUUGCCAUCAUUAAGUUGGGCACUCUAAGUUGACUGCCGGUGACAAACCGGAGGAAGGUGGGGAUGACGUCAAAUCAUCAUGCCCCUUAUGAUUUGGGCUACACACGUGCUACAAUGGACAAUACAAAGGGCAGCGAAACCGCGAGGUCAAGCAAAUCCCAUAAAGUUGUUCUCAGUUCGGAUUGUAGUCUGCAACUCGACUACAUGAAGCUGGAAUCGCUAGUAAUCGUAGAUCAGCAUGCUACGGUGAAUACGUUCCCGGGUCU
rnacentral:rRNA from 1 species